CAGCGCAUAAAUCCACCUACCAAUCUAUCUAUAAAAAUCAAGCGAAUUAAGGUAUACUUCACCAAGAGGCAGCAGGUCGAUCCGGGACCCUGUGCCCCACUGCGCAACAUACGAACACUGAAUAUGGGCGGCAACAUUGAGCAACGUCCCUGGACGCCAACGGUGCGUACGGGCAGGAUUGCCGCAGAGACGGCCACACCGGGACCAGCCAUUGUGCAGCUACCCACACUGAUUGGCAGCAAAGUUCCGGACUCCAAGAAGAAGGGCGCUCCCUCGUACUCAUUUGGCCAUAAGUUGGGCAGUAAGUACGAGACCUUUGGCCCCGGACCGGCGCAAUAUAAUGUGACGGGCUUGCGGGCCAAAGGCAAGGAUUAUCCACGUGCAGCCACCCUGCAGAGUCGUCCCAAGGAGCUGUCACGCUUCUCGAAUCCCGGACCCGGUGAAUACAACGUACAGCCAGCUGCCAAGGCAGUGAUCGAUGCCACGCCCAUGUACACGUUUGGCCAGAAGCCGCCCGAUGCCAAAUUUAGCCUGAUUCCAGGUCCCAACCAUUAUCAAGUGGUGCCGCUUGAUGUGACCAAGCGGCGUGCACCGCGCUAUUCCUUUCGCAUUAAGGUUAACGUUUACAUUGUUAACAAUCCAGCUCCGAAUAGUUAUUGCCCUGAAAGGGUCACGCAAUCAAAAAAGAAUGCGCCACGCUACACAUUCGGUAGACGAACUAAAAUCCAACACGAUCAGUCUACACCAGCUCCUGGCGCCUAUUGCCCCGAAAAAGUUAAUCCCAGCAGGACGCCAGAGUUUAGUUUCGGCAUCAAGCACCACGAACAGAAGCCCGACUAUACGCCAGCGCCAGGCAGCUACAAGCCCGAACAUUUUGGCCAAGAGCACAUGCCCUCGUACAGUUUUGGCCUGAAGACCAAGCACACUCUGGUCAGUGAUACACCAGCACCCGGUGCGUACAGUCCCGAAAAGUCAAAGCUGCACAGUACACCCGCUUACACGAUCACUGGCAAGGCCACGCACGACGUAGUCGAUGCCACACCCGCACCCGGCGCAUACGAACCCGAGAAGUGCGUGCUGAACAAGACGCCAGCCUACACCUUUGGGCAUCGCGUGAAUCUGGCCAAGGUCAGCGAUACACCAGCACCGGGCACCUAUCAGCCGGAGAAGGUGCGUCUGGAUCACACGCCCUCAUACACGCUGUCGGGGCGACAUGAGCUCAAGUGUACGAGCGAGACCCCAGCGCCCGGUUCGUAUGCACCGGAGAAAUAUCGCGGCGAUCGUACGCCGGCCUUCACCUUCGGCGGUAAGCACGAACAGAAGCUCGACAGCUCCACGCCGGCACCAGGCGACUAUUGUCCCGAAAAAGUACGGCACGAUCACAAUCCAGCUUACUCAUUCGCCGGUCGCCACGACCCACACAAGACAAGCGACACACCCGCCCCGGGGGCCUACGAAACGGAAAAGGUUAGGCAGGAUCACAAUCCCUCGUUUUCUUUUGCCGGUCGCCAUCAUCUACAUAAACCAAGUGAUACACCUGCUCCUGGGGCUUACUCUCCGGAAAAAAAUAGGCAAGAUCACAACCCCUCCUUUUCGAUGGCAGGAAAACACAUUCAAAAGAUUUCCAAUGGUACACCAGCUCCUGGUGAUUACUGUCCUGAGAAGUGUCUUACUGACAACGCUCCUUCGUAUAGUUUUGGAGGCAGAAAUGAUCCUAAGGUAGAGAAUAACACCCCUGCGCCUGGUGACUACCAUCCCGAAAACUGUAGACAAGAUCAUAAUCCUUCCUACUCCUUUUCUGGUCGUCACGAUCUAAAUAAAGCAAGUGAUACACCUGCUCCCGGAGCUUACUCUCCGGAAAAAAAUAGGCAAGAUCACAACCCCUCCUUUUCGAUGGCAGGAAAACACAUUCAAAAGAUUGCCAACGGUACACCAGCUCCUGGUGAUUACUGUCCUGAGAAGUGUCUUACUGACAACGCUCCUUCGUAUAGUUUUGGAGGCAGAAAUGAUCCUAAGGUAGAGAAUAACACCCCUGCGCCUGGUGACUACCAUCCCGAAAACUGUAGACAAGAUCAUAAUCCUUCCUACUCCUUUGCUGGUCGUCACGAUCAUUCCAAGCCCAGUGAUACACCCGCCCCUGGAGCUUACUCUCCGGAAAAAAAUAGGCAAGAUCACAACCCCUCCUAUUCGAUGGCAGGAAAACAUAUCCAAAAGAUCUCCAGCGACACCCCAGCUCCUGGUGACUAUUGUCCUGAGAAGUGUCUUACUGACAACGCUCCUUCGUACAGUUUUGGGGGAAGGAAUGAUCCUAAAGUAGAGAAUAACACUCCAGCCCCUGGCGACUACCAUCCCGAAAACUGUAGACAAGAUCAUAAUCCUUCCUACUCCUUUUCUGGUCGUCACGAUCUAAAUAAAGCAAGUGAUACACCCGCCCCUGGAGCUUACUCUCCGGAAAAAAAUAGGCAAGAUCACAACCCCUCCUUUUCUAUGGCAGGAAAACACAUUCAAAAGAUUGCCAACGGUACACCAGCUCCUGGUGAUUACUGUCCUGAGAAGUGUCUUACUGACAACGCUCCUUCGUAUAGUUUUGGAGGCAGAAAUGAUCCUAAGGUAGAGAAUAACACCCCUGCGCCUGGUGACUACCAUCCCGAAAACUGUAGACAAGAUCAUAAUCCUUCCUACUCCUUUGCUGGUCGUCACGAUCAUUCCAAGCCCAGUGAUACACCCGCCCCUGGAGCUUACUCUCCGGAAAAAAAUAGGCAAGAUCACAACCCCUCCUAUUCGAUGGCAGGAAAACAUAUCCAAAAGAUCUCCAGCGACACCCCAGCUCCUGGUGACUAUUGUCCUGAGAAGUGUCUUACUGACAACGCUCCUUCGUACAGUUUUGGGGGAAGGAAUGAUCCUAAAGUAGAGAAUAACACUCCAGCCCCUGGCGACUACCAUCCCGAAAACUGUAGACAAGAUCACAAUCCUGCCUUCUCCUUCGCUGGUCGUCACGAUCUUCUGAAGGCCAGCGAAACACCCGCUCCUGGAGCCUACUAUCCGGAGAGGGUGCGGCUAGAUCACAAUCCAUCGUACACGUUUGAUGGCAAACACGAGCCGCAUGCCACGUCCGAGACCCCGGCUCCCGGCGACUACAGCCCUGAAAAGGUACGAUUGGACCACACACCUGCUUACAGCUUUGGCGGCAAAUACGACCCCAAGGCGGCGAAUCAUCAUCCUGCGCCAUGCGACUACGCCCCCGAGAGAGUACGCCUCGACCAUACACCCGCCUACACAAUUGCAGGUCGUCCGACCCAAGAGCAUGUGACACACACGCCGGCGCCGUGCGACUACUUUCCGGAACACUGUCAGCCGUACAGCACGCCGGCCUUUACCUUUGGCAUGAAGCUGACACAGGAGCGCAUCAGCGAUACACCAGCACCCUCUGCCUACGAGCCGGAGAAGCACAACACACAGCACGCACCAGCGUACACCUUUGGCUCGAGGUCCGAGACCAAGGUAUCCAGCGAUGCACCAGCCCCGGGCACCUAUCACCCCGAGCACGACCGAUUCGACAGUUCGCCUUCGUAUAGCUUUGGCCAGAAGACGCUGGUCAUGCCAUCCCUGCCAGAACAUAGAGGCCCCUACAUUGAAGAUCGCAUUCUGCAAAGACGCGAACGACGCUUGGCAAGUCCCGGUAAGAUAAGUCUAAGGUUUAAGCCACAUCCAUAUUCACGUCCAUAUAUCCAUAUCAAACAUCAAAAUAUGGCAAGGAAUGCGUCUGAUUUCACGCUCUAACCAGAUCUAAUGGGGCGUGCAAUCCACUUGGAAAUGGAUUGUAUUAACUCCAACAGGUCUUAGUAUCGCAAGGUUUUCGCAAUGAGGCUGUUGCUGCUCUGCGUAGUCCUUUGCUGGCUCUUUGCCCACACCGAACACAAAAGGAACUAUGGUCGGAAUCUUGCCUGCUUGACAAACAACAGAUACAAGCACGAGAGUUCUUGUCCCGGACCACGUCGCAUCUUCUAUGCCUUCCAUCGCAUCAUCUUCAAUUGCACGAAAGUGUUUACGAAAUGCCCAAAGAUUCACAGGCACAACGAGUACCCAACCAAGAAGUUGUGCCAGGAUGAUUGCUACCAUCACAUGAAAAUACCUACGACAAAGAAACCAGCCAAUAGCACGGGCAAUAGCACAACUACCAAAGCACCAGAUGGUGACAAAAAGGGUGGUAAAGGUGACAAAGAUGGUAAAACUAAAUCGGGAGGUGAUGAUCUUGGCAGUGGUGAGCAAUUUAGGCGUGCGAAUCCCUACAUAUUUGUGGGUCGCCGAGGUGCUGGCACAAAUCACAACCGACAGUCGGUACGUGCCCUAAGUAACAUAACUCAAAGGCGUGGAAGGAGAUCUAAACGGUUUCAUUAGUUUGAUGUAUGAAAUGAAAUGUUUGCAAUGGAAAAAGAAAUUUAAUAGAAUGGAAAUUCAGAUGGAAUUAGCUAAGGAUUUCCAAGCAGCCUAGAAUUAAACUAGAGACACUUUUCUUCUAGAGUUUCUACCCAAACCUAAUUGCAAAUAAAUUUGUCGUAGCCAAUCGAAUUACAUGCCAACUCCCAGUACCCCACGGAAAAGCCACAGUUUGCCAUAGUUCAUGCUCGUAGCAGCAAAGAUGUGGGCCCCUCAAAUUCUCGUGUGUCUGCUUCUCUUGUGGGUGAACACCGCUCCUGGGCGCUCCUCCGAUCGCUGCAUGAAAGCGAAUCAGGGCAAGCGACUGACCUGCAAGGGUAGACCUCAACUCACCUUCUAUUACGAUGCGGUGGGCAAGAAGUGCGCCUCCAAGAGAAGCAAAUGCCUUUCCAGCCCAGUGGCCAAUAUGUUUGCCACUAGGCAGUUGUGUCUGGCCGAGUGCCAGCAUCAUAUUCUGCGAGAUUGAGACGCAUUCGCUGCACUAGGGACACCACCUCAUUCACUUCACUAGAAUUAAAGCACACGAUUUGUUUGUA